UUUUAUUAGAUAUUAUUAAUAAUAAAAUCUGCUCAAUGAUUUUUUAAAUUGCCGCAAUUGUGCUAAGGUAGCAUAAUCAUUUGUCUUUUAAUAAAAGACUAGAACAAAAGAUUUAACAUUUAAAUGAAUUUCUUUAAUUUAUAUAUUAAAAUUAUUCUUAAUGUAAAAAAACAUUAAUAUAAAAAAUAGACGAUAAGACCCUAUCGAACUUUACUUUAGUUAAACUGGGGCAGUUAAUUAAUUAAUAUUUUAAAUAUAAAUAUUAAAUAAAUGACCUAAUAUAAUUAAUUACAUGAAUAAGUUACCGUAGGGAUAACAGUGUAAUAUUAUUUUAAAGACCUUAUUUAAAAUAAUGAUUGCAACCUCGAUGUUGACUUAAUAACCUUAAUAAUGCAAUAAUUAUCACAGGAAGUCUGUUCGACUUUUAAAUAAUUACAUGA
rnacentral:rRNA from 1 species